CAGCCGCCGCGGUAACACCAGCCCCUCGAGUGGUGGGGAUGAUUAUUUGGCCUAAAGCGUCCGUAGCCGGUCAGGUAAGUUUUCCGUUAAAUCCAACGUCUCAAGCGUUGGACUGCGGGAAAUACUGCCUGACUAGAGAGUGGGAGAGGUCAGCGGUAUUCCGGGGGUAGGGGCGAAAUCCAUCGAUCCCCGGAGGACCACCAGUGGCGAAGGCUGCUGACUAGAACACGUCUGACGGUCAGGGACGAAAGCUGGGGUAGCGAACCGGAUUAGAUACCCGGGUAGUCCCAGCCGUAAACGAUGCAUGCUAGGUGUUGGGUUGGCCACGAGCCACCCCAGUGCCGCAGGGAAGCCGUUAAGCAUGCCGCCUGGGAAGUACGAUCGCAAGGUUGAAACUUAAAGGAAUUGGCGGGGGAGCAC
rnacentral:rRNA from 2 species